GGAGAGAUGCCUGAGUGGACGAAAAAGUCGGAUUGCUAAUCCGUCGUACGAAUCUUUCGUAUCGAGGGUUCGCAUCCCUCUCUUUCCU
rnacentral:tRNA from 1 species